ensembl:lncRNA
AUGCCCCUCAGAAAGUCCCUGCUCGCGAGGUACUUGUUCAAAGGAGAGGCACUAAGUGCAGACAAAUGGAUGAUGUCUUUGGAAGGGACAACUGUGAUGGGGCCCCACAACAACCUUCUGAAUGGAGUGCAGCGACCUUCACUGUCUACAUGUUUAACUAACAGUAUCCUAAAGAGGCCUCAAACACUAAAGAGCUUUUUGUGGAAUCAAUUCCAAGAUGUCAGCAAAGCAGAGAAGAGACGGAGGAUCAACGCACCUGUCUGCACCCUAUUAAGAAGACUCCUGGGUUUUGAGUUGAUGGGCUAGUAUUGAUGCCCACCCACACCCCACAGCUUCCCCAGUUCAAGACUGGUUGGGACCUUUUGUUAUUUAUUACCAUGUUCCCCCUGAUGAUAGACUGUCUGGAAGUGAGCUAGAUUCUUCAGUGAAACUGUAAUUUUGUUUGUAUGAAAAAAAAAGAUAAAAUACAUUUGUAAUAUGUGAUGUUGCAUAGUGUGUUAAUAAUAAAAAAUAAUAAAAAGUUGCCAUUGUUUUGGUUUUAAUUUUGGAAGAUGGAAAAUUGCAGUAUUUUAUUAUAUUUAGAAAUUACAAUAUUGUAAUUGUCUCCUGUAAAAUUACUGGAAAUUCCUGGCAACUGAGUUGCAGUAAAUAUACAGUAAAUUUAAAUAAAUUACAGCAUUUUACUGUAAUAAUGCUACUUUAAUCACAGUAGCACUGCUGUAAAAAUACAGGACUCUAUUGUAUUAAAAAAACAAUAUAUUACCUGUAUAUUACUUGCUGUAAAUUCACGGCAAUUAGUUGCCAGGAAUUUCCUGUAAAAUUACAAUAAAUUUUUAACAGUGUAGAGCUGCAGUGCAGUCAGGUAUGGUGGAAUAUAUGUGGAUUAACUCAAGCUGUGGGGGAUAAUGCAUAGAUCCUUUCUAUGAUAGCGAUACUGCCUUGUCGUAAUCCAUGCUAUGUGAAGAUAACACUUGAAAGAUAACAAGUGCAUGGGAGGUUAAUAUAGUGUUUCACGUGUGUUGAUUUGGGAAGAUUCACACUUUACGACAUAGAAGACUUUGUCAUGCAACAUAUACAGAAUGAAACAAAGCUUUCGGUAAGCUGUCACUAUUUGUGAAAAUACAGUAGAUUUGCGUGUUCUCAGUGUAAAGAAGUAUGUGCUUUCCGACAAAUGUUGGAUUGACUCUGUUAUUGAAGACACAGUGCAGAAUUCAUUGCUGGGAGAAGCCAGGACAAAUAUAACAGCUUGUAAAGUCCAAAAACAUUAUUGUGCUUGGCUCAUUUACAUAGAGGUAAAGCAGCACCGUGAGUUUAUUGCCCAAAUACCUUCCAAACACAAUGUUAAGUAUCUUACAAACAAUGGCGACACAAUGAAUUGGCAAUUAGUUAUAUAAAUGUGUUUUCGAAAUGGUGAUGAAAAUGAAAAUUUGGAAGUCAAUUUAUGCUGUCAAGAAAUUUAAAAUUUGCAUUUAAGAAGUAACAAUAGAGUGAUACGUCUAAAAAAUUUUUAACUUUUUAACUUUUUUUUAAAAAUAAAACUUCUUUCAAAAACAUAAAAUAAUAAUAAUAACUUUUGAAACUUUUGAACAGUAGUGU